GCUGGGCAAGAUGACUCAUGCCUGUAAUCCCAGCACUUUGGGAGGCUGAGGCAGGAGGAUCAUUUGAGCCCAGGGGUUAGAGAUGAGCCUGGGCAAUAUAGUGAGACCCUGUCUCUA
ensembl:misc_RNA Metazoa_SRP Metazoan signal recognition particle RNA